AGUGAACGCUGGCGGUAGGCCUAACACAUGCAAGUCGUACGGCAGCACAGAGGAGCUUGCUCCUUGGGUGGCGAGUGGCGGACGGGUGAGGAAUACAUCGGAAUCUACUCUGUCGUGGGGGAUAACGUAGGGAAACUUACGCUAAUACUGCAUACGACCUACGGGUGAAAGCAGGGGACCUUCGGGCCUUGCGCGAUUGAAUGAGCCGAUGUCGGAUUAGCUAGUUGGCGGGGUAAAGGCCCACCAAGGCGACGAUCCGUAGCUGGUCUGAGAGGAUGAUCAGCCACACUGGAACUGAGACACGGUCCAGACUCCUACGGGAGGCAGCAGUGGGGAAUAUUGGACAAUGGGCGCAAGCCUGAUCCAGCCAUACCGCGUGGGUGAAGAAGGCCUUCGGGUUGUAAAGCCCUUUUGUUGGGAAAGAAAUCCAGCUGGCUAAUACCCGGUUGGGAUGACGGUACCCAAAGAAUAAGCACCGGCUAACUUCGUGCCAGCAGCCGCGGUAA
rnacentral:rRNA from 1 species